AUGGUAUGAUGUGGACAUUAUCUCUCCAACUCCUUCCAUCUCAUCCAAGACUCAUAAAGAGUUUCACCUUCUCUAGGCCAAAAAGCAGUCUUUUGAUUCCUUAACUCU